AUUGAACGCUGGCGGCAUGCUUUACACAUGCAAGUCGAACGGUAACAGGCCUUCGGGUGCUGACGAGUGGCGAACGGGUGAGUAAUGCAUCGGAACGUACCCAGAGGUGGGGGAUAACGCAGCGAAAGCUGUGCUAAUACCGCAUGUGAUCUGAGGAUGAAAGCGGGGGACCGAGCAGCAAUGUUUGGCCUCGCGCCUUUGGAGCGGCCGAUGUCGGAUUAGCUAGUUGGUGGGGUAAAGGCCUACCAAGGCGACGAUCCGUAGCUGGUCUGAGAGGACGACCAGCCAGACUGGGACUGGGACACGGCCCAGACUCCUACGGGAGGCAGCAGUGGGGAAUGUUGGACAAUGGGCGCAAGCCUGAUCCAGCAAUGCCGCGUGCAGGAAGAAGGCCUUCGGGUUGUAAACCGCUUUUGGCAGGAACGAAACGGUGUCCGCUAAUACCGGGCGCUAAUGACGGUAUCUGCAGAAUAAGCACCGGCUAACU
rnacentral:rRNA from 1 species